rnacentral:rRNA from 1 species
CCGCUUGCAGGGAAACAGAUGGACCCACGAAGUCCAGUUGGUAGUGAAAUUCAUUUUGUCGAUAAAGUUGUUUUUGGAUAAGUGUUUGCUUGCAUUCACUUACCAUUAACUUGCUUUAUUGUCAAUGCACUUUUCACUACCACGACGGAGCUCUGACUCUUAAUCGACUUGAUUGUUUAGUGCAACCUUUCGUUGUGGUUGAAUAACUUUCGGGUUUUUCAUUCACCUCAAGAGAGAAUAAUCAAGUCAUGGUUAAGAGGUGAAUUUCUUACAAUUGUAAGUUUUCAGGUCGUCAGUUGAUCAUGUGUAUAGAGUAGUUAUCUCUGGUGACUUUCGGCUCUUGUAGUUGAAACCAUCUUUGAACAGUUGCUCAUUUGUACGCUAGUGAUACUAACGAUGAUCCAGAGUAAGUAGGUCGGUCAUCCAUCUGACCCGUCUUGAAACACGGACCAAGGAGCCCAACAAUUGCGCGAGUCGCACGGUCUUGAAUAGGCCUGUGAGGCGAAAUUAACAUGACGGUGUGAUCUUUACUUUAUUGUAAAGCGCAACACCAACCUGCUUUAUAUACUUUUUGUAUUAAAGUGGCGUUCGAGCGUAAUUGUUGGUACCCGAAAGAUGGUGAACUAUACUUGGGCAGGACGAAGCCAGAGGAAACUCUGGUGGAGGUCCGUAGCGGUUCUGACGUGCAAAUCGAUCGUCAGACCUGAGUAUAGGGGCGAAAGACUAAUCGAACCAUCUAGUAGCUGGUUCCCUCCGAAGUUUCCCUCAGGAUAGCUGGUACCUAAUAUGUCUGUAGCAUCCGGUAAAGCGAAUGAUUAGAGGUCUUGGGAUCGAAACGAUCUCAACCUAUUCUCAAACUUUAAAUGGGUGCGAAGCAUCACUUUCUUAAUUGAAGUGUUGCCGCUGUAAGACAAGUACCAAGUGGGCCAUUUUUGGUAAGCAGAACUGGCGCUGCGGGAUGAACCGAACGAGGAGUUAAGGUACCCAAUGCCGACGCUCAUGAGACCCCAUGAAAGGUGUUGGUUGCUAUAGACAGC